CAUUCAGUCCUUGAUCUCGGGGUGAGCCCAGCCUGGCCAGGCCUGUGCCCAGUGAGCUCCACUCCCUGCUGCUCCCUGGCACACACUGUCCCUGCAGGAACCCUACAGGUUCUCCUGGCAGCUCCCAAGGCCCUCCAGACAAACCUUCCCCUGCCAUCAGCCCUGGCACAAGCUGCAGGGCCCCAGGAAGGUUCAGCACAGACCAUUCAGCAUCUGAUGGGCAGUGGCCGCCAACAAGCAAAACCUGACCCAGACCUGAGUACCCCGAAGGCUACAGUGAUGAGACCCUGAUCUCAUCCCACUGAGCCCUGGGAGAACAAGGAACACAAGGAGCCUCUUCAGAAACUGUUCCUUGGGCCUCUUCCUGAGAGUGCCUCUGGAGGGGAGCCAAGCCUCCCUGCCCUGCGCUCAGGAGAUGCCCUUUGCUGGUGGAGCUGCUGUGCUGGAGUCCAGCUGUGUCCCAGCAGUGCCCAUGGCCUGUCCCUGCCUGUGGCCACAGCACGGACACACAGCAGGACAGUGACCAAGCUGCCAGAGCACAGGGCUGUAUAUAGGGAACUUUUUAGUGGGAGUAUCAAUUUCAGCCAUCGGCACCUGGAAAGUUGGAUGGUUUAUUCCAUAGGAAGGAAAGCAUGGAGCACCUGUUCUCCAGGGCAGCCCUUAACAUUCCAAGGUCAGCCUGACAUGUCAGGUGGGCCCUGGGAGGCCAAGCCAGGCAGAUCUGUUCCAUGUUCCCUUGCUUCCAUGACAGAGGUGUCACAAUGGCUCAUUGGUUCCACAGUGUCACAACGGGCUCUGCAUUUUGCCAGGCCCCAAAGUGUCACAGUGGUCUCAAUGGUCCCACGAGGCCACACAGUGUCACCGUGGUCUCCACAGGAAGGACACUACAGAGCUCAGAUGUUUCAGGGGCUGAUGAGCUGCAGCCCCCAGAGGCCAAAGCCAGACAGACCUGUCUGUCCUGCAGGUUGGUCUGGGAACAACCCAUGGAUAUUCAAAAUUUUGAAUGUGAAAUCCCAGUUUCAGCCCUUUGUUCCUGGAGGACAAGACCAGUUCUUUUCCAUAGAAGUGAAAGCACAGAGCCCCUGUGUUUGGAAGGCAGCUGGCAGAACAGGUAUCAGAACCUGAUGAAAGCCAGGCUCUGCUGUGAUCUAGCUGGGCCCCAUGGAAUGCAGAGGGCCGCUGUCAGUCCAUGGAACCCAUGGAAGCAAGGCUCAGAUGUGAAAAAGGCGUGCACCAUGGAACCCAAGAGCCCCUCAUGGAACCAGGGCUGCAGUGUGUCACCGAGGGAGGGACCUCAUGGCAGCAGGAGAGCAUUGUGAGGCUGUGCAACAACAGGGCACCAAGGUUCCACUGUGACUUGACAGAACCCCAUGGAUGUGAAUGGCCCCAAACCAGGCCAAGAGACACUUCCCAGACAAAGUCCAAGGAAGGGGAUUUACUUUAUUCAGCACACCAGGUGUGCAGGGAUAUCUCCUCCUGACAGCGCACACAGGCACACAGCAGAUUACAAUAUACAGUUAUACUCUAUGCAUAUUCAUGUUUCUCCUCAGAAAAGGUGUGGUUAUGCAAACGAUUUCUCAGUACUCAUUACAAUCAUUAGCAUACACGAGGCACAGGUGCAGUGCACACUGGUGGUGGCACUGAGGAAGGCUCCGCGACUUCCUCGGGGGUCUCCUGAUGAAGGCUGGACGUCUUCAUCACUGUGCCCUUUUCACCUUUCUCCUCUAGGCAUGAGCAGUCUCUUGUUGGCUGUUUCAGCAAUUUCCU